AGUGAACGCUGGCGGUAGGCCUAACACAUGCAAGUCGAACGGCAGCACAGUAAGAGCUUGCUCUUACGGGUGGCGAGUGGCGGACGGGUGAGGAAUACAUCGGAAUCUACUUUUUCGUGGGGGAUAACGUAGGGAAACCUACGCUAAUACCGCAUACGACCUACGGGUGAAAGCAGGGGAUCUUCGGACCUUGCGCGAUUGAAUGAGCCGAUGUCGGAUUAGCUAGUUGGCGGGGUAAAGGCCCACCAAGGCGACGAUCCGUAGCUGGUCUGAGAGGAUGAUCAGCCACACUGGAACUGAGACACGGUCCAGACUCCUACGGGAGGCAGCAGUGGGGAAUAUUGGACAAUGGGCGCAAGCCUGAUCCAGCCAUACCGCGUGGGUGAAGAAGGCCUUCGGGUUGUAAAGCCCUUUUGUUGGGAAAGAAAAGCAGCAGGUUAAUACCCCGCUGUUCUGACGGUACCCAAAGAAUAAGCACCGGCUAACUUCGU
rnacentral:rRNA from 1 species